rnacentral:rRNA from 1 species
AUUGAACGCUGGCGGCAGGCCUAACACAUGCAAGUCGAGCGGAUGAAGGGAGCUUGCUCCUGGAUUCAGCGGCGGACGGGUGAGUAAUGCCUAGGAAUCUGCCUGGUAGUGGGGGGUAACGUCCGGAAACGGGCGCUAAUACCGCAUACGUCCUGAGGGAGAAAGUGGGGGAUCUUCGGACCUCACGCUAUCAGAUGAGCCUAGGUCGGAUUAGCUAGUUGGUGGGGUAAAGGCCUACCAAGGCGACGAUCCGUAACUGGUCUGAGAGGAUGAUCAGUCACACUGGAACUGAGACACGGUCCAGACUCCCACGGGAGGCAGCAGUGGGGAAUAUUGGACAAUGGGCGAAAGCCUGAUCCAGCCAUGCCGCGUGUGUGAAGAAGGUCUUCGGAUUGUAAAGCACUUUAAGUUGGGAGGAAGGGCAGUAAGUUAAUACCUUGCUGUUUUGACGUUACCAACAGAAUAAGCACCGGCUAACUUCGUG